CCAAAAAGAAAUCCUAUGAAAAAAAAAUCCAAAAUCAAAGCAAAGGAAAAAUAAGAGUGAAGAAACAGAAAUGGCUAGCCUCGCCGUCGCCGGACACUACCUCCGUCGAUCGAUUCCUCAAGUCUCAGCUCAACUAAAUCACAGCAGCACUAAUUGUUUCUAUACGUGUUAUAGAGCUCGGUUGUUCAGUUGCAGCACUUACUCGUCUCGGACUGAAUUCCACGGGGAGAACGCGUACGAUCUCUUAGGAGUUUCUGAGAACAGCUCAUUCGCAGAAAUCAAAUAUUCUUUCCGUAAAUUGGCUAAAGAAACUCACCCGGACCUCGCCGAUUCGAAGACCGAUUCCACUGCUUCUCAUCGGUUUGUUCGAAUUCUUGCGGCGUAUGAGAUUCUUUCAAAUUCUGAGAAGAGGGCGCAUUAUGACAGCUAUCUGUUCUCUCAGAGAAGGAUUAUGCAGAAAUAUUCGGGACAAGGAACAAGAUUAUCCAUGUAUAAAUCCCAUGUUACAACAUUUAAACAGAUGGAAGUUGUGGAAUGGUUAAAGUGGUAUAGAUUUGCUAUUAGUGAUAUAGUGUCAGAGAAGAAGGUGGUUGUUGGAACGGGCUAUUUUGACAUACUUGAAAGGGAUUUUUAUUCAGCCAUACAUGCAGCAUACUACGGCCCUGUAAUUGAGUCAAUGGAUCUUCUUCCUGACCGCUUUGAAGCUGAGGAGAGGUCUGCUUAUGAAACUCAUGAGGUUCUGCACCUGGUUUCAGGGCGUGAUCUUUUUGGGAUGGUUUGCUUGAUCAAUGAGGUUCCUGCAUUAUCUUUUUCCAGGAAUGAAAAAUUAACUUCAUUUUCAUCUAUAGGUUCAGGCAUCUGCCCUAACAUUGAGGAUACUAGCAUCCACAUGAGCUCGGAUGGUGUGGAUGAGUUUCGAACUCCUUUGACACAAUCUCAAAAUAUUACAGAUCACACAUCAGAUGCAUAUAAAGAUCUAGAAUUGCAUAUAUCUGGAAGGGUGGUUGCUGUGGCCACUCGAGUCCCUCCUAAAAGCCAUUGCAAUGGGAUGCAGAAUGAAGAUGCUCAAGAUCAUAUAUACGUAUUUCUUAGUUCACAUGAAGAUCCAUCCAUGCAUGUUAGUGAACAAUCUUCUAUGAAUCAGUCUUCUGGUGGUGAAGUUGGAUCAAGGAUUCCACUGGGAACUAUAACUGGACUAGGGACUAGCCCAGAGGAAGGGUCGUGCUUUGUCUAUGACAGCAGUGGCACAAAAACCCAUGUGAUUAUGAAGCAUAGAACAUUGCUGGUGAAGCAUAUGCAUUGGUAUGAUGUGGGAGAAGAAGUUUCUGUCUGUGAAUGUCGAUGCAGUAGAGCCUGUUUACCUCCAAGCAAAUUUUGGCUUUUCGAGCCUCGCUGUGGCAUACAUGACAUCGGUGGUUGGUAUGUCGAAACAUUUGGCAGAGAUAAGAAAGGCCGGACAGUCCCAUCGCAGAGGUAUUGGGAUGGCUUUGAUGCAAGUGAAGAAUGUAGCAAGAGACUCCAUCCAGCAAUGUAUUUGCUUGCUAUUGCAUAUAGAACUCUAGAUCUUGAAGAUGUGAAAAGAAAGAAACGAACAGUGAGGGAUGUCAUUGAAGGACAGCUGUUUAGAGUUCUCAGUUGGUGCAAGAAAAUUGCUUAGGAUGGAUACCAUGUGGGCUUCUGACACUGUAAUUGCUUCUUUAUGAGAUGAAAGAAUCAUAAAUUGAUUUUAGGAUUCAUGUUCACUUACACAAGAUGUUCAGAAAGCCAAGUUGCACCGGCAUCUAUUUAAUGCAAAAGCAAAAAUCCCUGUAUUGGUCUUAACAAAAUUAAGUAUCGGGAGUUAGGAUAUUAUCGAAGAACGACUUUCCACUGUUUCCGAACAUCACUAGAAAGGAUUCUCUCAUGCCAUAAACGGUUCAGAUCUGUUGAUUUUGCUUUGUAUAUAUUUGAUCCUACAAAAGCUAAGUUACAGUGGUAUUAUCUCUGCAGAGUGUAUCAUCUUGUCCGUAUUCUGUAUUCAUGAGGAUGAUAUUUGCGAUAUGCACAGGAAAUUGUCUUUUUUGGUGAUACUAGUAUUCCUUGAACAUGUAAGGAAAAUACCUGUCAGACUACGUCUGUUAUUAUGCAUUGUAAGAACAACUUCUUCUAACAUCUGCAAGAAGUGAUUUGAUAGCUGUUCUCAGACAUUGCAUCUUGGGUAUUGAAGGAAGAUUGAUAUCUCGACAUAGAGGCAUGCCAAAGAAAGAAGACUAAUGUUUUAUCUGGCAAAUCAUUAUCAAUCUGGUGGAGACUCAAAUCAGAAGAGUUAAGCGGUGUAACUCUUGUGAACGAGGCUGCAUGGGUAGGGAUUGAAAUAUUUUAUGGCAUGAAUACAUUCAGUUUAUUAUUUGCCCGGAACAUUGUAAUAUCUACUAGAUUAUGAACAGUCUGGUGCCUCCAAUACAUCCUUGCACUGAGGAUUUAGGAGGUGUCAAUCUGGAGACGAGAAGCAAUUGGCAGAUCUUUAUCCUGAGAAACCACGCCAAGUUAGUGAAACAUUAUAUAUCUGUAUUUAGCGUUACUCCAUUUA